CCCUUAGAUGUUCUGGGCUGCACGCGCGCUACACUGAAGCUAUCAACACGUUUUCCCUCCCUGAGAAGGGCGGGUAACCUUUUGAAUCGGCUUCGUGGUAGGGAUCGGGGCCUGCAAUUGUUCCCCGUGAACCAGGAAUUCCUAGUAGACGCGAGUCAUAAGCUCGCAUCGAUUAAGUCCCUGCCCUUUGUACACACCGCCCGUCGCUACUACCGAUUGAACGUUUUAGUGAGGCAUUUGGACCGACGCAUCUCAGUUUAACCGCUGGUUUGUGUUGGAAAGACUUCCAAACUUGAGCGUUUAGAGGAAGUAAAAGUCGUAACA
rnacentral:rRNA from 1 species